rnacentral:misc_RNA from 1 species
GAUGAAGAACGUAGCGAAAUGCGAUAAGUAAUGUGAAUUGCAGAAUUCAGUGAAUCAUCGAGUUUUUGAACGCAUAUUGCGCCCUCUGGUAUUCCGGGGGGCAUGCCUGUUCGAGCGUCAUUAAAUAACCCUCAAGCAUAGCUUGGUGUUGGGCUUUUUUACGUCCUUGACUGGGAUGGGCCUAAAAAUUAGUGGCGAUGGCUUUUUUACUUUCAAGCGUAGUAAAUCUCGUCUUGCUAAAGAGGAAAAAGAUUUUUUUUCUGCCAAAAAUUUUAACAUUUAAAGUUGACCUCGGAUCAGGUAGGAUUACCCGCUGAACUUAAGCAUAUCAAUAAGCGGAAGA